rnacentral:rRNA from 1 species
GACAGAGGUGCCGAGCGUUAGGCGGAAUCACUGGGCUUAAAGCGUGUGUAGGCGGAUCGUUAAGUGCCGUGUGAAAUCCCACGGCUCAACCGUGGAACUGCUCGGCAUACUGGCGAUCUUGAGCCACUUAGGGGCUACCGGAACAAAUGGUGGAGCGGUGAAAUGCGUAGAUAUCGCUUGGAACGCCGAAGGUGAAGACAGGCUGCUGGGGUUGUGCCGACGCUGAGACACGAAAGCCAGGGGAGCAAACGGG